GCCUCGGUGGCGGAAUAGGUAGACGCACAGGACUUAAAAUCCUGUGGUGAAUUUCACCGUGCCGGUUCGAUUCCGGCUCGAGGCACCA
rnacentral:tRNA from 1 species